AUGCUCACUUUGACAGCACAUGUACUAAAAUUGGACUGAUACAGAGAAGAUCAGCAUGACCCCUGCACAAAGAUGACAGGCAUAUUUGUGAAGCGUUCCAUUUUUCU
ensembl:snRNA U6 U6 spliceosomal RNA